UCUGCGUAAGGGAUAGCAGAGGAAAUCCUUUUUGUUUUGGGGAGGAAUGAGCAAUGGGGAAACAAAAAGAUUGUAACGAAUAGCCCGACCCAAG
rnacentral:sRNA from 1 species